GUUGGGUAGGGGAGCGUUCUGUAAGCCUGUGAAGGUGUGUCGUGAGGCAUGCUGGAGGUAUCAGAAGUGCGAAUGCUGACAUAAGUAACGAUAAAGCGGGUGAAAAGCCCGCUCGCCGGAAGACCAAGGGUUCCUGUCCAACGUUAAUCGGGGCAGGGUGAGUCGACCCCUAAGGCGAGGCCGAAAGGCGUAGUCGAUGGGAAACGGGUUAAUAUUCCCGUACUUGGUGUUACUGCGAAGGGGGGACGGAGAAGGCUAUGUUGGCCGGGCGACGGUUGUCCCGGUUUAAGCGUGUAGGUGUGUGUUCCAGGUAAAUCCGGUUCACUUUAACACUGAGGCGUGACGACGAGGCACUACGGUGCUGAAGCAACAAAUGCCCUGCUUCCAGGAAAAGCCUCUAAGCAUCAGGUAACAUCAAAUCGUACCCCAAACCGACACAGGUGGUCAGGUAGAGAAUACCAAGGCGCUUGAGAGAACUCGGGUGAAGGAACUAGGCAAAAUGGUGCCGUAACUUCGGGAGAAGGCACGCUGACACGUAGGUGAAGUGAUUUACUCAUGGAGCUGAAGUCAGUCGAAGAUACCAGCUGGCUGCAACUGUUUAUUAAAAACACAGCACUGUGCAAACACGAAAGUGGACGUAUACGGUGUGACGCCUGCCCGGUGCCGGAAGGUUAAUUGAUGGGGUCAGCGCAAGCGAAGCUCCUGAUCGAAGCCCCGGUAAACGGCGGCCGUAACUAUAACGGUCCUAAGGUAGCGAAAUUCCUUGUCGGGUAAGUUCCGACCUGCACGAAUGGCGUAAUGAUGGCCAGGCUGUCUCCACCCGAGACUCAGUGAAAUUGAACUCGCUGUGAAGAUGCAGUGUACCCGCGGCAAGACGGAAAGACCCCGUGAACCUUUACUAUAGCUUGACACUGAACAUUGAGCCUUGAUGUGUAGGAUAGGUGGGAGGCUUUGAAGCGUGGACGCCAGUCUGCGUGGAGCCGACCUUGAAAUACCACCCUUUAAUGUUUGAUGUUCUAACGUGGACCCGUUACCCGGGUUGCGGACAGUGUCUGGUGGGUAGUUUGACUGGGGCGGUCUCCUCCUAAAGAGUAACGGAGGAGCACGAAGGUUGGCUAAUCCUGGUCGGACAUCAGGAGGUUAGUGCAAUGGCAUAAGCCAGCUUGACUGCGAGCGUGACGGCGCGAGCAGGUGCGAAAGCAGGUCAUAGUGAUCCGGUGGUUCUGAAUGGAAGGGCCAUCGCUCAACGGAUAAAAGGUACUCCGGGGAUAACAGGCUGAUACCGCCCAAGAGUUCAUAUCGACGGCGGUGUUUGGCACCUCGAUGUCGGCUCAUCACAUCCUGGGGCUGAAGUAGGUCCCAAGGGUAUGGCUGUUCGCCAUUUAAAGUGGUACGCGAGCUGGGUUUAGAACGUCGUGAGACAGUUCGGUCCCUAUCUGCCGUGGGCGCUGGAGAACUGAGGGGGGCUGCUCCUAGUACGAGAGGACCGGAGUGGACGCAUCACUGGUGUUCGGGUUGUCAUGCCAAUGGCACUGCCCGGUAGCUAAAUGCGGAAGAGAUAAGUGCUGAAAGCAUCUAAGCACGAAACUUGCCCCGAGAUGAGUUCU
rnacentral:rRNA from 1 species